rnacentral:rRNA from 1 species
CGCGUAGGCGGCCUGCUAAGUCUGGAGUGAAAGUCCUGCUUUCAAGGUGGGAAUUGCUUUGGAUACUGGUGGGCCGGAGUGCAGGAGAGGAAAGCGGAAUUACCGGUGUAGCGGUGAAAUGCGUAGAGAUCGGUAGGAACACCAGUGGCGAAGGCGGCUUUCUGGACUGAAACUGACGCUGAGGCGCGAAAGCGUGGGGAGCAAACA